rnacentral:rRNA from 1 species
UAGGGAAUCUUCCGCAAUGGGCGAAAGCUUGACGGAGCAACGCCGCGUGAGUGAUGAAGGUCUUCGGAUCGUAAAACUCUGUUAUUAGGGAAGAACAAAUGUGUAAGUAACUAUGCACGUCUUGACGGUACCUAAUCAGAAAGUCACGGCUAACUACGUGCCAGCAGCCGCGGUAAUACGUAGGUGGCAAGCGUUAUCCGGAAUUAUUGGGCGUAAAGCGCGCGUAGGCGGUUUUUUAAGUCUGAUGUGAAAGCCCACGGCUCAACCGUGGAGGGUCAUUGGAAACUGGAAAACUUGAGUGCAGAAGAGGAAAGUGGAAUUCCAUGUGUAGCGGUGAAAUGCGCAGAGAUAUGGAGGAACACCAGUGGCGAAGGCGACUUUCUGGUCUGUAACUGACGCUGAUGUGCGAAAGCGUGGGGAUCAAACAGG